CCCAGACCCGGCCAUGACACCACCUCCACACCUUCCAACCUCCGGCCGACGAUCGGUUCACCAUCUCCUUCGUUCACACGUCGGUUACUCCUUUCACCGACACCUCCAUCCUCCAAGAACCCCUCGAAUAACUCCUCAGCCGCCACCGCAAAUUUUCGGCAUGAAGUGGACAGAUCAAGGAUUGACAGAGACGUAUUCCCCACACCGGCGUCUUUGAUUCUUGACGGCGGCAGAGAGUUGAUGUUUGAGCGUAGAGCGAAGCUUUGAGUCUGGAGUGAUUGCUGAAGAAGGAGGGGCGUUUGGCUUGAAUUUACAAUUGGUUCCGUCAUCGUUAGAUCUGGAUGAUGUGGACAGUUGAGGAUGAAAUCGGUGGUUCUGCCGCUGAUAAGGGUUGCUGUGAGCUCUGUAUGUGAGAGAAAAGCUUGUAAAUGUGGCCGUUGUUGGUAGGAGGUGAAGCCGGAGCAAGGGUUAGCAAAGGUGGCUCCGGUCGGUUUCUAAGGCUGAGAAAUUGAGGUGGUUAGCACCGGCGGCAGAUGGUAGCUGCCCUUGUACCUAAAGGUGGUAUGCAACUUACGAGGGUUUCAUGAAGGAGGUGGUGAACCCCAACGGCAGAUGGUGAGUUUUGAAAAAACGUUGCUGAAGAAGGAGCGUGUGAAGGUGUGAUGAUGAUGCACGUGAAGGGUGAUGAUUUUUUUUUUUUU